CCCCAGACUCCUACGGGAGGCAGCAGUGGGGAAUAUUGCACAAUGGGGGAAACCCUGAUGCAGCGACGCCGCGUGAGUGAAGAAGUACUUCGUUAUGUAAAGCUCUAUCAGCAGGGAAGAAAAUGACGGUACCUGAGUAAGAAGCCCCGGCUAACUACGUGCCAGCAGCCGCGGUAAUACGUAGGGGGCAAGCGUUAUCCGGAUUUACUGGGUGUAAAGGGAGCGUAGACGGCGGCGCAAGCCAGAUGUGAAAGCCCGGGGCUCAACUCCGGGACUGCAUUUGGAACUGUGUGGCUGGAGUGUCGGAGAGGCAGGCGGAAUUCCUAGUGUAGCGGUGAAAUGCGUAGAUAUUAGGAGGGACACCAGUGGCGAAGGCGGCCUGCUGGACGAUGACUGACGUUGAGGCUCGAAAGCGUGGGGAGCAAACAGGAUUAGAUACCCUAGUAC
rnacentral:rRNA from 1 species